rnacentral:rRNA from 1 species
GUCUACAGCCAUGCCACCCUGAACGUGCCCAAUCUCGUCUGAUCUCGGAAGCUAAGCAGGUCGAGCCUGGUUAGUACUUGGAUGGGAGACCACCUAGGAAGGCCAGAUACUGUAGGCG